UACGGGGGGGUGCAAACGUUGCUCGGAAUCAUUGGGCGUAAAGCGCACGUAGGCGGUUCGUUAUGUCGGAUGUGAAAGCCCUUGGCUUAACCGAGGAAGUGCAUCCGAAACUGGCGAGCUAGAGUACGAAAGAGGAUCGCGGAAUUCCCGGUGUAGAGGUGAAAUUCGUAGAUAUCGGGAGGAACACCGGUGGCGAAGGCGGCGACCUGGGUGGAUACUGACGCUGAGGCGCGAAAGCGUGGGGGAGCAAACAGG
rnacentral:rRNA from 1 species